rnacentral:rRNA from 1 species
AUCCUGGCUCAGGACGAACGCUGGCGGCGUGCCUAAACCUGCAAGUCGAACGGAGUAACCAUACACUCUGGCGAACGGCGGAGUAAUAACAUGAUGCAACAUGCCCUAAACACUGGGAUAAUCAAGGGAAACCCUGAGGAAUACCGGAUGUGGUCGUCACCUCGCGUGGGGAGAAGAUUAAAUGGUUUUUCCCUUUAGGAGCGGUUCAUGGCCUAUCACGUAUUUGGUGAGGUACCGGCUCCCCAAGCCAACAACGGUUACCGGGUCUGAAAGGAUGACCCGCUCGAUGGGGACUGAAACCCGGCCCAACCCCCUCCGGGUGGCACCAGUUGGAAAUCUUGCACAUGGGGGGAAACCCGGAUGCACCGACCCCGCGUGGGGGAUAAAGGAUCCAGGUCUGUAACCUCCUUUUUCAGGGACAAACAUAAGACUGUAUCCUGAGAAUACGCACCGUCUAACUACGUGCCAUCAGCCGCUGUAACACGUGUGGUGCAAGCGUUCUCCAGAUUUACUGCGCAUAUGGAGCGCAUACGCGGUUCUUUAUCUGUGUAGUGAAAUCUCUAUGUGUCAACCCACAAGCUGCUUUAACUACAGGCCAUCUGGACUGAUGAAGACGGU